rnacentral:rRNA from 1 species
UCCAGACUCCUACGGGAGGCAGCAGUGAGGAAUAUUGGUCAAUGGCCGGAAGGCUGAACCAGCCAAGCCGCGUGAAGGACGAAGGUGCCAAGCAUUGUAAACUUCUUUUGUCAAGGGACAAAAUCAGGCUCGAGAGCCUGACCGAGGGUACUUGAAGAAAAAGCAUCGGCUAACUCCGUGCCAGCAGCCGCGGUAAUACGGAGGAUGCGAGCGUUAUCCGGUUUUAUUGGGUUUAAAGGGUGCGCAGGCGGUAUAGUAAGUCAGAUGACAAAGCCGUGGGCCCACCCCCGGCCCGCCGUUGAAACUGGCAGUCUCGAGUUGGAGAGAAGUAUGCGGAAUGCGCGGUGUAGCGGUGAAAUGCAUAGAUAUCGCGCAGAACUCCGAUUGCGAAGGCAGCAUGCCGGCUCCACACUGACGCUGAGGCACGAAAGCGUGGGUAUCGAACAGGAUUAGAUACCCGAGUAA